rnacentral:rRNA from 1 species
UACGUAGGGGGCAAGCGUUGUCCGGAUUUAUUGGGCGUAAAGAGCGUGUAGGCGGCCAUACAGGUCCGUUGUGAAAACUGGAGGCUUAACCUCCAGACGUCGAUGGAAACCGUAUGGCUAGAGUCCGGAAGAGGAGAGUGGAAUUCUUGGUGUAGCGGUGAAAUGCGCAGAUAUCAGGAAGAACACCAGUGGCGAAGGCGGCUCACUGGCCCGGUACUGACGCUGAGGCACGAAAGCGUGGGGAGCAAACAGG